rnacentral:rRNA from 1 species
UACGUAGGCAGCGAGCGUUGUUCGGAGUUACUGGGCGUAAAGAGUGCGUAGGCGGUUUUCUAAGUUUGGUGUGAAAGCUCGGAGCUUAACUCCGAAAAGUCAUUGAAUACUAUCUGGCUGGAGGGUCGGAGGGGAGACUGGAAUUCUCGGUGUAGCAGUGAAAUGCGUAGAUAUCGAGAGGAACACCAGUGGCGAAGGCGAGUCUCUGGACGACUCCUGACACUGAGGCACGAAAGCUAGGGGAGCAAACAGG